UGAAGACAUUCACUCAUGCAGUUGUGGCAAAUUAAGGACAGGAUUUCCAUGUCUCUGGGAAACCUUAGUUUUAACUCAAAGUUUUCAACUAAUUGGAUGAGGCCUAUGUGUAGCAUUGAGAGAAAUUUCCUUACAUUGAACAUAAUUUUAUGUAAACAUAUAAAUAAAACAUGAUGACUUUAUAUUGAAACAUAUCACCUGCCAUUAUUAGGAGCGACAGGGACACAGAAGGCAGAUACUUAACUACUAACUGGAAUUUCCAGUUAUACAUUUAAUAUUUCAAAUGUGUUUUUAGCUCUCUAUUGCAUAAUAGCUUUGGCCACAGAGGUAACAAAUGCGUGGGGUGUUUUUGGAAGGGGGCAAAUCAGACAGUAUUUUAUAAUGUCUUAACUGCAUUACUAAAGCACAGAUUAUAUGUGUGCCAGGAGGCUUCCAAAAUUCACAAAGACUUUUCUGAGCAAAAUAACUCCCAAGAACAGCAUAACCUAUCCGGUCACUUCGACCUGGCUCUCUCAGCCUCCUCAGCCACAUUUUACAGACAAGAAAACACCUCAGCUCAAUCCUUAGUAUCUCUUUCUAAUGUUAAUGAUUUUUAGUACUGUGUUUUUAAAAAGUGUCAUUUUAAAAUUGUCCUAUGACAAAUAUACUAUCCCAUAGGGCUCAUUAUGAGAACUUCCUAUCUCCAAGGAAAGGGACCGGGAAAUAUAUGCCAGAAACCUAGGUGUGACCUGUACAUCAUAUGAGGACAGUCCAUGUAUAUUUAAGAGUCAGUCUAGGGCCAGGGAUUUAGCUCAGUCGUUCCAGCGCCUGCCUCAAAAGCGCAAGGACCCGAGUUCAAUCCCCGGUACCAAAAAAAAAAAAGAGUCAGUCUAAUCCUGAUCCCAAAACUAUUGUGUGAUACGGCUGAACAUGCCCACCAAUCAGCAGUCCCUGAUUUAUUCAUUCUCAACUUCAUGUGAAAAUACCCAUGAAGACUGCAAUAAUACAAUAAAGUAGGCCGGGGAUAUAGCUCAGUGGCACAGCACCUGCCUGCCAAGUGAGAGGGCCUGAGUUCCAUUCCCGGUACAAAAAUAAAUUUUAAUGAAAAGGAGACCCUCGGCCAAAAUCCAUUGGAAAUUUCUAAUUCCAGUAUUAAUCACUGGAUUCACUGAACCAAAUGAGCUGCAGAGCAAAUAGGAAGAAGUCUCAACUUAGUCAUUGUCUUUAACUCAGGACACAGGAGCUAUGCUGCAUGGAAAACCACAUUCCUCAUUGCUCAGAAAUCAUCUGAGUAUUUUGGAGUUGACAUCUAUGCCCACGUCAUGGUUUCUUUCAACUUUGCUUUCAUAUGCUUUUUAGAAAUUGUAGGUUUCAAUUUUCAGAGAAGCUGCAGAUGAAAACAGAAAGAACUUUACACCUUAGGUCUUGCUAUAUUUAGAUAUGAAAUAUUCCCCAAAGCCCAAGUGUUAGACUUUCCCUAGAGGUGGUGGAAUCUAAAGGAGGUAGGGCUUAGUGGGAGGUCUUAGGUCAUUGAGGGUGUGUCCUCCAGUGGUGUUUUUGUACACCAGUUUCUUCCUUUUUCACUUCCCCACAGUGAGACAAAGGGGCUUCCAUGUUAUACUGCCUCAUUACAAGCCCAAAAGCAACCAGCCCUACUCAUUGUGGACUGAAACUUCCAAAGCUGUCAACCAAAAUAAGCCUUUUCUUUUUAUGAGCUGAUUAUCCCAGAAACUUAUUAAAGUAAUGAAAUUCUAACAGGUGUGCAGUCACCACAGAGCACAUUGCAUAUGGAUGGAAAUGCUGGAGAGAAUUCAACACUACAGAGAACAGUGGUCUGACUGGAGCAAAGCCAGAUCAUCCAAGAAUGGGACCAGAAGAUGCUUACACUGUCGUCCUGAUUUAAGGGAUCGAACUUGGCCUCCCUGGGCUUGCGGGGCAGGCGGCGGAACCACUGAGCUAAAUCCCCGGCCCCAGUGAUCCAAAUUUUCCAAGGACCUUGGACGUGAUUUUUAACUGACACACUAUGUACUUUGGAUACAAAUGGUUGUCUCUGGGCCCUCGUUUCUAAACUGCACUUAGCAAAUGUCAUUUCAGUUGUGUUUUUUUAAUCAAUGUAUUUUGAAAGUCUCCAAAUUUGGCUUAUAAAAUUGUGUGCUUGAAUUUGUGGAUCAAUUAUGAUGAGCAAUGUUCCAACUCGUUCCUAAAGUCACAGCCAAAGACAAGAAAGAUCUCUACAGUAAAAAGCUGGACUUUCUCUUUGUUUAAAGUAAUGUUCUAUUUGUAACCAUAUAAGCUUAAAGUAUCUUUUAAAAAUGCGUUAUCUUUCUCAGAUUCUCCAUCUGCACAUGCUCUAAUACUAUCUGUCCUCUUCCCCCAAAAGAAGGUCUGUUUUGUACUCCAAAUCCCCUGCCCUAACCCAGCCACAGGUCGCUCUCCAGCGCUUUCUCGAGAGCUUCCUGUGUACCUCCUGACCUUAGCUAGCCUCCCUCCCUCUCUUCCCAGUCAGGGUGAUUUUUCUAACCAGCUAAUCUAAUCACAUUAUUUAAUGUCCUGCUGAUACUCUCUAACGGGUCCCUGUAGCCUACUACAUAGAACCCGAAGUCACUUCCGGUUGGUAAACACGGCGUCUGCCUCAUGUUGUUCCUUUUGUUUCCAAUAUGGGCGCCUUCCUCUGGGUCCACCCCCACUUCUUACCUUGUGGCCUCAUAAAAAUCUCCUCAUUCUUCAAGACUUCAGCAUCACCUCCUCUGUGACCCAGGAGACGUAGUCCUCCCCCGGGGCAGUGGAGUACCUUAGACCUAACCAUCCCAGCCUGGCAUUCUUGGCUAUAGGUGUCUACCGGUGGGUAUGUAGAUAACUUUCUUCUCUAGGAGUGUAUAAGAUUAUUGAAUGUAAAGAUCAUAUCUUCCACUACCUGUCAUUUCAGUAUCUGUCACAAGGCCUGAGACACAGCAGGUAUUCACAAAAGAUGGGUUUGAAAGAAUAAAAUCUAUUCAAGAGAGCUAUUGUUUGAAAUUUGUUUUUGCCGAGGCUGAUGAAAUGCAGUUUGUUUCUUACCAGCAGAUGUCGCACUAGCUCUAUCUUUUUAUCUUGCUUUUUGGCUUUUCAGCUUUGCUGUAACAUUAAUUGGGCUGUUAUGAGGAAGAGAUGAUAAUUUAGGCACUGUUUACAGAAUAAAGCUGAUUUAACCUUCA